GUGGUAGGAGAGCGUUCUAAGUGCUGUGAAGUCAGACCGUAAGGACUGGUGGAGCGCUUAGAAGUGAGAAUGCCGGUAUGAGUAGCGAAAGACAAGUGAGAAUCUUGUCCACCGAAUGCCUAAGGUUUCCUGAGGAAGGCUCGUCCGCUCAGGGUUAGUCGGGACCUAAGCCGAGGCUGAAAAGCGUAGGCGAUGGCCAACAGGUUGAUAUUCCUGUACCACCUCCCCGCCGUUUGAGUAAUGGGGGGACGCAGUAGGAUAGGGUAAGCGCGCUGCUGGAUAUGCGCGUUCAAGCAGUUAGGCUGAUGAGUAGGCAAAUCCGCUCAUCAUAAAGGCUGAGCUGUGAUGACGAGGGAAUUAUAGUACCGAAGUUCCUGAUUCCACACUGCCAAGAAAAGCCUCUAGCGAGGCGGGAGGUGCCCGUACCGCAAACCGACACAGGUAGGCGAGGAGAGAAUCCUAAGGUGAUCGAGAGAACUCUCGUUAAGGAACUCGGCAAAAUGACCCCGUAACUUCGGGAGAAGGGGUGCUCUGGUAGGGUGUAUAGCCCGAGAGAGCCGCAGUGAAUAGGCCCAGGCGACUGUUUAGCAAAAACACAGGUCUCUGCGAAGCCGCAAGGCGAAGUAUAGGGGCUGACGCCUGCCCGGUGCUGGAAGGUUAAGAGGAGGGGUUAUCCUUUGGGAGAAGCUCUGAAUCGAAGCCCCAGUAAACGGCGGCCGUAACUAUAACGGUCCUAAGGUAGCGAAAUUCCUUGUCGGGUAAGUUCCGACCCGCACGAAAGGCGUAACGAUCUGGGCACUGUCUCAACGAGAGACUCGGUGAAAUUAUAGUACCUGUGAAGAUGCAGGUUACCCGCGACAGGACGGAAAGACCCCGUGGAGCUUUACUGUAGCCUGAUAUUGAAUUUUGGUACAGCUUGUACAGGAUAGGUAGGAGCCUGAGAAGCCGGAGCGCUAGCUUCGGUGGAGGCGUCGGUGGGAUACUACCCUGGCUGUAUUGAAAUUCUAACCCGCGGCCCUKAUCGGGCCGGGAGACAGUGUCAGGUGGGCAGUUUGACUGGGGCGGUCGCCUCCUAAAAUGUAACGGAGGCGCCCAAAGGUUCCCUCAGAAUGGUUGGAAAUCAUUCGUAGAGUGUAAAGGCAYAAGGGAGCUUGACUGCGAGACCUACAAGUCGAGCAGGGACGAAAGUCGGGCUUAGUGAUCCGGUGGUUCCGCAUGGAAGGGCCAUCGCUCAACGGAUAAAAGCUACCCCGGGGAUAACAGGCUUAUCUCCCCCAAGAGUCCACAUCGACGGGGAGGUUUGGCACCUCGAUGUCGGCUCAUCGCAUCCUGGGGCUGUAGUCGGUCCCAAGGGUUGGGCUGUUCGCCCAUUAAAGCGGUACGCGAGCUGGGUUCAGAACGUCGUGAGACAGUUCGGUCCCUAUCCGUCGUGGGCGUAGGAAAUUUGAGAGGAGCUGUCCUUAGUACGAGAGGACCGGGAUGGACACACCGCUGGUGUACCAGUUGUCUUGCCAAAGGCAUCGCUGGGUAGCUAUGUGUGGACGGGAUAAGUGCUGAAAGCAUCUAAGCAUGAAGCCCCCCUCAAGAUGAGAUUUCCCAUAGCGCAAGCUAGUAAGAUCCCUGAAAGAUGAUCAGGUUGAUAGGUCAGAGGUGGAAGCGUGGCGACAUGUGUAGCUGACUGAUACUAAUCGAUCGAGGACUUAACCAAA
rnacentral:rRNA from 2 species